UACGGGAGGCAGCAGUUAGGAAUCUUCCACAAUGGGCGAAAGCCUGAUGGAGCGACACCGCGUGAGGGAUGAAGGCCCUAGGGUCGUAAACCUCUAAAAGAGGGACGAUAAUGACGGUACCUCUUGAGAAGCACCGGCUAACUCCGUGCCAGCAGCCGCGGUAAUACGGAGGGUGCAAGCGUUAUCCGGAAUCACUGGGCGUAAAGGGCGCGUAGGCGGUCUGUUAAGUCCGAUGUCAAAUCCCGGGGCUCAACCCCGGAUCGGCGUUGGAUACUGGCAGGCUUGACGGCUGGAGAGGCGAGUAGAAUUACCAGUGUAGCGGUGGAAUGCGUAGAUACUGGUAGGAAUACCCAUUGCGAAGGCAGCUCGCUGGACAGCACGUGACGCUGAGGCGCGAAAGUGUGGGGAGCAAACCGGAUUAGAUACCCGGGUAGUCCACACCCUAAACGAUGCAUACUUGGUGUUGGCCCGUUGGGGUCAGCGCCGGAGCUAACGCGUUAAGUAUGCCGCCUG
rnacentral:rRNA from 1 species